UACGGGGGGAGCAAGCGUUGUUCGGAUUUACUGGGCGUAAAGGGCGCGUAGGCGGCCACCGCAAGUCAAUUGUGAAAUCUCCGGGCUUAACUCGGAAAGGUCAACUGAUACUGCGGGGCUAGAGUGCGGAAGGGGCAACUGGAAUUCUCGGUGUAGCGGUGAAAUGCGUAGAUAUCGAGAGGAACACCUGCGGCGAAGGCGGGUUGCUGGGCUGACACUGACGCUGAAGCGCGAAAGCUAGGGGAGCGAACGGG
rnacentral:rRNA from 1 species